GAAAAUAAAGAUGAAGAUAAAGAAGACUAAGAAGGAUAAAGAGAGAGACCGGAACCGUGCCGAGCUCCUUGAGUUUCUGAACUCUGCCUUAUGAUGGAGAAAGUGCUGACCAAGGACUUGCAAAUCUACCAAGCCAACAAUCAUCAUGCCUCGUAAAACCCUAAAGGGAAACUCAGGGAAAAGGGCACCAAGUUGGACAAGACCAGACUCUCCUGCUGUGAAGACAAUCAGGAUGUCCUUUUUAAUGGCAGAACGAAGAGUAACUAAUACCUUGUUAGUGAAAGAUCCAUGUCCUCCUUUUGAGAUCCUAAGGUAAUAGCCAGGCUGUGAUAUUUUAAAAGAGCGUAAGAGUGUGUCAUUGACAAUGAUAAGAAAUGAUACACUGAGGUCCAAUUAUGUAAUCCGUACCGUAGCUGCAUGCAGAAUGCACUCAUAAUUUCAAAUGUCUUAAUGUUUCUAGUAGCUUAAGUGAAGCGAAGUAUUUGUAAAUGUUUAUUUGAAAGAUGAGGCAUUUCUAUAUGUAUAUAUUUUUUUUUUCCACUAGUAGUUUUACUUGUCCUAAAGAGCAAGCUGACCUUUGUAAAUAGAACAUACUUUUAAAUAGA